rnacentral:rRNA from 1 species
UACAGAGGUGGCAAGCGUUGUUCGGAAUUACUGGGCGUAAAGGGCGCGUAGGUGGCCUUUUGAGUCAGACGUGAAAUCCCCCGGCUUAACCUGGGAACUGCGUCUGAUACUGGAAGGCUUGAGUUCGGCAGAGGGGGGUGGAAUUCCACGUGUAGCAGUGAAAUGCGUAGAGAUGUGGAGGAACACCGAUGGCGAAGGCAGCCCCCUGGGUUAACACUGACGCUCAGGCACGAAAGCGUGGGGAGCAAACAGG